rnacentral:rRNA from 1 species
GCGCAGCAGUCUAGAAUUUUUCUCAAUGGGCGAAAGCCUGAAGGAGCGACGCCGCGUGGAGGAUGAAGGCUUUCGGGUCGUAAACUCCUGUCAUUUGAGAACAAGUGUAGCCAAAUAACUACUGGCUACUUGAUAGUAUCAGAAGAGGAAGGGACGGCUAACUCUGUGCCAGCAGCCGCGGUAAUACAGAGGUCCCAAGCGUUGUUCGGAUUCAUUGGGCGUAAAGGGUGCGUAGGUGGCGCCGUAAGUGGGGUGUGAAAUUUCGGAGCUUAACUCCGAAACUGCAUUCCAUACUGCGGUGCUUGAGGACUGGAGAGGAGACUGGAAUUCAUGGUGUAGCAGUGAAAUGCGUAGAGAUCAUGAGGAAGACCAGUGGCGAAGGCGGGUCUCUGGACAGUUCCUGACACUGAGGCACGAAGGCUAGGGGAGCGAACGGGAUUAGAUACCCCCGUAGU